GACGUAGGGCGCGAGCGUUGUCCGGAUUUAUUGGGCGUAAAGAGCUCGUAGGCGGCUUGUCGCGUCGUUCGUGAAAACCUGGGGCUCAACUCCAGGCUUGCGGGCGAUACGGGCAGGCUAGAGUUCGGUAGGGGAGACUGGAAUUCCUGGUGUAGCGGUGAAAUGCGCAGAUAUCAGGAGGAACACCGGUGGCGAAGGCGGGUCUCUGGACAGUUCCUGACACUGAGGCACGAAGGCCAGGGGAGCAAACGGG
rnacentral:rRNA from 1 species